rnacentral:rRNA from 1 species
GACGAACGCUGGCGGCGUGCCUAAUACAUGCAAGUAGAACGCUGAAGGAGGAGCUUGCUCUUCUGGAUGAGUUGCGAACGGGUGAGUAACGCGUAGGUAACCUGCCUGGUAGCGGGGGAUAACUAUUGGAAACGAUAGCUAAUACCGCAUAACAGUAGAUGUUGCAUGACAUUUACUUAAAAGGUGCAAUUGCAUCACUACCAGACGGACCUGCGUUGUAUUAGCUAGUUGGUGGGGUAACGGCUCACCAAGGCGACGAUACAUAGCCGACCUGAGAGGGUGAUCGGCCACACUGGGACUGAGACACGGCCCAGACUCCUACGGGAGGCAGCAGUAGGGAAUCUUCGGCAAUGGACGGAAGUCUGACCGAGCAACGCCGCGUGAGUGAAGAAGGUUUUCGGAUCGUAAAGCUCUGUUGUAAGAGAAGAACGAGUGUGAGAGUGGAAAGUUCACACUGUGACGGUAUCUUACCAGAAAGGGACGGCUAACUACGU